rnacentral:rRNA from 1 species
UACGUAGGGUGCGAGCGUUAAUCGGAAUUACUGGGCGUAAAGCGUGCGCAGGCGGUCUGUUAAGACAGAUGUGAAAUCCCCGGGCUUAACCUGGGAACUGCAUUUGUGACUGGCAGGCUAGAGUAUGGCAGAGGGGGGUAGAAUUCCACGUGUAGCAGUGAAAUGCGUAGAGAUGUGGAGGAAUACCGAUGGCGAAGGCAGCCUCCUGGGCCAACACUGACGCUCAUGCACGAAAGCGUGGGGAGCAAACAGG